rnacentral:rRNA from 1 species
UUUAAUUCGAUGCAACGCGAAGAACCUUACCUGGUCUUGACAUCCCGGAGACCCUUAGGAAACUAGGGGGUGCUUCCAUCUGGAAGAAUCUGGAGACAGGUGCUGCAUGGCUGUCGUCAGCUCGUGUCGUGAGAUGUUGGGUUAAGUCCCGCAACGAGCGCAACCCUUGCCUUUAGUUGCCAGCAGUUCGGCUGGGCACUCUAAAGGGACUGCCGGUGUUAAACCGGAGGAAGGUGGGGAUGACGUCAAGUCCUCAUGGCCUUUAUGACCAGGGCUACACACGUACUACAAUGGCCGAUACAAAGGGCAGCGACACUGCGAGGUGAAGCCAAUCCCGUAAAAUCGGUCUCAGUCCGGAUUGGAGUCUGCAACUCGACUCCAUGAAGUUGGAAUCGCUAGUAAUCGUGGAUCAGCAUGCCACGGUGAAUACGUUCCCGGGCCUU